rnacentral:rRNA from 1 species
CCUACGGGAGGCAGCAGUGGGGAAUCUUGCGCAAUGGGCGAAAGCCUGACGCAGCCAUGCCGCGUGAAUGAUGAAGGUCUUAGGAUUGUAAAAUUCUUUCAGUAGGGACGAUAAUGACGGUACCUACAGAAGAAGCCCCGGCUAACUUCGUGCCAGCAGCCGCGGUAAUACGAAGGGGGCUAGCGUUGCUCGGAAUUACUGGGCGUAAAGGGAGCGUAGGCGGACAUUUAAGUCAGGGGUGAAAUCCCAGAGCUCAACUCUGGAACUGCCUUUGAUACUGGGUGUCUUGAGUGUGAUAGAGGUAUGUGGAACUCCGAGUGUAGAGGUGAAAUUCGUAGAUAUUCGGAAGAACACCAGUGGCGAAGGCGACAUACUGGAUCAUUACUGACGCUGAGGCUCGAAAGCGUGGGGAGCAAACAGGAUUAGAUACCCUGGUAGUCCACGCCGUAAGCGAUGAUUGCUAGUUGUCGGGAUGUUUACAUCUCGGUGACGCNGCUACGACAUAAGUACACACCGCCGUCGGGUAGGUACGGUACGGCGACGAAGUUAAACGUUAACGUAAACGUAAAGUUAGUACGGUACGUGAGACGUAGACCGACGGACGACGACGAGGGAGGUUAGGG